CCAGGGGGCCGGGCAGCCGCUGCUUCGCAAGGAGGAGAGGAAAGUCCGGGCUCCACGAAACAAGGGUGGCGGGUAACGCCCGCCGGGUGUGCGCCUUCGGGCGGACAUUCAGGGAAAGUGCCACAGAGAGUAUACCGCCGAUGGACCCUAAAGGUCUCAGGCAAGGGUGAAAGGGUGCGGUAAGAGCGCACCGGGGCUUCGGUAACGGCGCCCGCAUGGCAAACCCCACCCGGAGCAAGGCCAAAUAGGGGUCUCGCGCCCAAGCAUUUCGGUGCAAGGGCAGUGGCGUUUCGCCGCGAGAGACCCGGGUUGGCUGCCUGAGCGCGCGGAGCAAUCCGCCGCCUAGACGAAUGGCUGCCCCCGCAGCGCUGGUCGCAAGAUACCGGCUGCGGGACAGAACCCGGCUUACAGGCCUCCUGGCAUU
rnacentral:RNase_P_RNA from 1 species